UCUUAAUAUGCGAAGUAGGUUUUUUAUAUUAUGUUCUUUUCAUAUAUGAGCCUAAUUUAGUUCUUUUGAUUUGAUCUGGGAAUAAUUCGUGUGGGGACAUAUUGGGGAAUUCAGAAGAUGCGUGUGAUUAUAGACGGGUUUAAGAUUUUUAUUCUGCAAUUAUGUUAAGCUGCUCAUUGUUAUUUGUUUUCACUGUUUUUGUUACAGCCACCAUGAACCCUCUGAUGAUGAAGAUGAAGUGAGUAAAACACUUACCCUUUUCAUUAGCUAUUAGUGGAACUCAUUGAAUGCAUUGAUCUAACUUUCGACAUUGUUUUCAGAGUCAAAAAUCUGGGGUACUUCCUGCUUCGGAUAAGAAUGGCUGCAAAAUUCAAAUCUCAAAGACACUUUGGAAAAACCUGACGCGUCAAGGAUGAAGAUCCCCUAAACGACAAGUUGUGAAAAGCCAGAAGUUGUUUUCUGUUUCAGUGGUGCAGAGUGUAGACUUUAUUCUUCUGAUUCCUCAUUUGUUUUGCAUUAUAGUGGGUUGAAAAAUGUUUAUUUCUUCUUUAACAACAACUAGCAUAUCUUUAUUUCCGUUAAGUUAAUUAUAAAGAGAUAGAAUGAUCAAUUGUGAAAGAGAUAGAAAGACAAAGUCAACAAAGUCAUCUUUUUUAAAAUUCAAAGUCACCCGGAUCCAACCCAAAAUGGAGAGAGGGAGAGAGAGAGUAAUUUUAGUGAGAAGAUUCGGUCUAAUGGUAGAAAAAAAUGGUCCAAGUUAGACCAAUCUUUUCAGGAAUGAGAUUUCCUUUGAGCCAUUCAAUCUAAACCGGUGGUCUAGAUUGUUUUAUGGUGUAAAAUUGAGUUAAG
rnacentral:lncRNA from 1 species